GUGGGGAAUCUUGGACAAUGGGCGCAAGCCUGAUCCAGCCAUGCCGCGUGAGUGAUGAAGGCCCUAGGGUUGUAAAACUCUUUCGUGGGGGACGAUAAUGACGGUACCCCAAGAAGAAGCUCCGGCUAACUUCGUGCCAGCAGCCGCGGUAAUACGAAGGGGGCUAGCGUUGUUCGGAUUUACUGGGCGUAAAGCGCGUGUAGGCGGGUCGUUAAGUUGGGGGUGAAAUCCCGGAGCUCAACUCCGGAACUGCCUUCAAAACUGGCGACCUGGACUCAAGCAGAGGCAAGUGGAAUUGCGAGUGUAGAGGUGAAAUUCGUAGAUAUUCGCAGGAACACCAGUGGCGAAGGCGACUUGCUGGGCUUGUAGUGACGCUGAGACGCGAAAGCGUGGGGAGCAAACAGGAUUAGAAACCCGAGUAGUCC
rnacentral:rRNA from 1 species